CCAUUGUUGGUUCAGAGGCAGAAUUCUUGCCUUCCACGCAUGAGACCCUGGUUCGAUUCCUGGCCAAUGUA
rnacentral:tRNA from 1 species